CCCUUGGGGUCCAACCUCCCACCCGUGUCUAUCGUACCUUGUUGCUUCGGCGGGCCCGCCGUUUCGACGGCCGCCGGGGAGGCCUUGCGCCCCCGGGCCCGCGCCCGCCGAAGACCCCAACAUGAACGCUGUUCUGAAAGUAUGCAGUCUGAGUUGAUUAUCGUAAUCAGUUAAAACUUUCAACAACGGAUCUCUUGGUUCCGGCAUCGAUGAAGAACGCAGCGAAAUGCGAUAAGUAAUGUGAAUUGCAGAAUUCAGUGAAUCAUCGAGUCUUUGAACGCACAUUGCGCCCCCUGGUAUUCCGGGGGGCAUGCCUGUCCGAGCGUCAUUGCUGCCCUCAAGCACGGCUUGUGUGUUGGGCCCCCGUCCCCCUCUCCCGGGGGACGGGCCCGAAAGGCAGCGGCGGCACCGCGUCCGGUCCUCGAGCGUAUGGGGCUUUGUCACCUGCUCUGUAGGCCCGGCCGGCGCCAGCCGACACCCAACUUUAUUUUUCUAAGGUU
rnacentral:misc_RNA from 1 species